rnacentral:rRNA from 1 species
GACGAACGCUGGCGGCGUGCUUAACACAUGCAAGUCGAACGGAAAGGCCCUGCUUGCAGGGUACUCGAGUGGCGAACGGGUGAGUAACACGUGGGUGAUCUGCCCUGCACUUCGGGAUAAGCCUGGGAAACUGGGUCUAAUACCGGAUAGGAGCCAUUUUUAGUGUGAUGGUUGGAAAGUUUUUUCGGUGUGGGAUGAGCUCGCGGCCUAUCAGCUUGGUGGUGGGGGAAUGGCCUUCCAAGGAGGGCACGGGUAGCCGGCCGGGGAGGGUGGGCGGCCACAUUUGGACUGGGAUACGGCCCAGACUCCUACGGGAGGCAGCAGUGGGGAAUAUUGCACAAUGGGCGCGAGCCUGAUGCAGCGACGCCGCGUGGGGGAUUACGGCCUUCGGGUUGUAAACUCCUUUCGCUAGGGACGAAGCUUUUUGUGACGGUACCUAGAUAAGAAGCACCGGCUAACUACGUG